rnacentral:rRNA from 1 species
CAGCCGCCACGGGAAUACGGAGGGUGCAAGCGUUAUCCGGAUUUAUUGGGUUUAAAGGGUCCGUAGGCGGAUCUGUAAGUCAGUGGUGAAAUCUCACAGCUUAACUGUGAAACUGCCAUUGAUACUGCAGGUCUUGAGUAAAUUUGAAGUGGCUGGAAUAAGUAGUGUAGCGGUGAAAUGCAUAGAUAUUACUUAGAACACCAAUUGCGAAGGCAGGUCACUAAGAUUUAACUGACGCUGAUGGACGAAAGCGUGGGGAGCGAACAGGAUUAGAUACCCCUGUAGUCCCUGUCUCUUAUAC